UUACAGAUCCUAGCCAAAGUAGUUAGUGGU
rnacentral:piRNA from 1 species